rnacentral:lncRNA from 1 species
AUGGACCAACUUGAUGACAUUGCGAAAUCGACUUUGAAAGCUGCAAACAUAAGUGAGGAAGUCUUGGGCACCCUGUCUCGUGAGGACCUCCGGGAUCUCUUCCCAGGCCCAGAAAAUUUCUUUCGGAGAAAAGCGGUCUGGCAUGCCUGUCAUGCCUGUCGUGAUGAUUUCGAUGAGGAAGUUGGCAGAGACAGUGGUACCUCUGUUACCGAAUCACCUUUGCCACAAGCAUCCAUGCCACAAGCAUCCACUCCAGUGAAAGAGUUCCCUGCAAAGUGUAUGACUCCAGAAAAGACGGUCAAGUUGUCCUUUCCAGAGUAUGUGUUGCACACAGACUCUGAACUUGAACAAGUCCGAAAACAAUACUUUGAGUUAGCGAAAAAAGGCGAGGAGGGCAACUUUGAAAUGUCCAAGGACCUGAGAUGUCGACUCAUCCGAAACACUAUGACAAGCAUGAUUGCAAUCCUGAGGGCAAAAGGUGAUGGGGAUUCAGACAGAUACCCUUCGAAACCAGAAGUAACAGCGAUGGCCAAGAGAAUAGUCCAGUACUACCCCAUGCUCCAGGACAAAGGCAGCAAGAAGACAUCGUGGAUCACAGUGUACGCACAACUGUACAAAAGACUCCAAAAUGUGAGAUCCCCUCAAAAGGCGAGUCCAGGUGGAAGUCAGCCAAAGAAGCGUCGUGUUGGCCAACGAAGUGACACCGAUGAUUCAACUGACUCAACCAUUAUUUUGGAUCGCUCCUCAGA